CACACAUGUGUGAUAUGCACGUGUGAUUUGUUAAGUUGAUAAUUCAAAAUACAAACGGCUUUAAAAUUAAAUAUAACAUAAAUAAGAUGGUAAAAGUAAAAAAGGUUACAGGUGAAAAGCUAACUUUAAAGAAGAGUAAUAAACUCAAGAAGCAGAAUGGCGCUUUAAAGAGCGAGGCUGUGGUUGAAGUUGAUAAUUCCAGUGUUAAAAUGCAGGCUAAAAAGAGGAAAUUAGCAACGAGUGAUCAGGAAUCAACUGGUAAAAAAAUUAAAACGAAAGUGAAGAAUGAAAAGUUAAAGGCGCCUACAGUGGAGGAAAUAAAUGAACUUAAAGACACCCGAAAUCUAUUUCAUUCUAAUUUAUUUCGAUUACAAGUAAAGGAAAUGUUAACCGAAAUAAAAAUAAAAGACAAAUAUCAAACAUUUGCCAAUAAAUGGUUGGAAAAUUUUAAGCAAUUUGCAAAGGAUCUGGUAUCUAUGCCUGAGAAACAAAAUUGUGACGAAAUGUUAUGGUUACAAAGGAGUAUACUUAAAUUUCCUUUUUCCUCUACAGAACUCGGAAUAGAAAAGCAAAAAAAAUUUUAUUUUCAAUUUAUAAAACCAAAUGUAGAACCUUAUUUUAUUGGUUCGUUUGCUACAAGAAGUUGGUUAGGCUCUAAAUUGGUUGCAGAUGUGUGUGUGCAAAUGCCGGCUGAGUGCUUCCAAAGAGAAAAUUGUUUAAACUUUGUAUAUGAACAAAAGAGAGCCUACUAUCUAACAUACUUGGUUAAUCAAAUGCUUAAAAGUAAAUACUUUGGAAAUCUCAAUGUUAAUCAUCUAAAAUAUAAUUAUUAUUCCAAUAAUCCACAUAAGUCUGUGCUCGAAAUAACUCCAACUUAUUUAGAUGAAAAAUUGGCUAGCAAAGUUAUAAUUCGUGUUUUUGUUGCCGGUGCUGAAACGUCUUUUAAAUUAAGCCGUUUUGUGCCAUGGACUAAUAAUGUUCAGAGUAAAAUAUUUGGUGAAAUCGAAAGCGAAGCCUCAGUAGGUUUGGCGACACCAGGUUAUAAUGCUAAUGUUCUUUUCGAUUUAACUAUGCAAAGAAAUCAGCAAUUGCUGAAUGAAAUUUUUACUGAACGGUUGAACUUUCAGGAUGGUUUGAUACUUUUAAAAGUUUGGAUACAACAACGCCAAUUAAAUACAGGGUUUAGCGGUUUUUCUACACAUAUACUGGCAAUGUUUAUAGUAUAUCUAUUUAAACAUUCUAAACUUCAUGCCAAUAUGAGCAGUUAUCAAGUAGCACGCACAGUAUGGAAUCAAUUAGCUCACAGCAAUUGGGAUGAAGAUAAUAAGGGUAUUUCUAUUUGUCCACCAGAAAACAAAACAGUUAAUCAACCUUCCUUGGAACAGUUUCAUACAUAUUAUGAUGUUGUUUUUGUUGAUGCGACAGGUUUCUAUAAUAUUUGUGCUAACUUAUCGUUGGAAAUGUAUAAACAUGUGCGUUCUGAAGCCAAAUUAGCUGUAGAUAUGCUAAAUGACAUGAGAUUGAAUAGUUUUCAUUUCAUUUUUAUGACCAAGUCUCCAAUUUACACACAGUUUGAUCAUAUUCUUAAAAUAAAUAAUGAUGAUACUGUACAACAAAUCCUUGAAAUGCAUGCGCCGCCACAGCUGAAGCUAAAUUAUACUGGAAAUUCUUAUGUGCAACUGCUGAAAGUAAUAACAAGUUUAUUGCGGAAAGGCUUAGGAAAACGUGUUAAAUCAUUCUUACCUUUAGAACAAUUGACACAAGGUUGGGAAGUAGAUGAGAAACCACAACCCACUCCAAAACAUUUACAUUUAGGUAUUAUUCUUGAUCCAGAUCAUGCAUUUGAGGUGCUUGAUAAAGGACCAGAAACAAUUGCUGAGGAAGCUGAAGAGUUCAGAAAAUUUUGGGGUGAUGAGGCAAAACUUCGUCGUUUUCAAGAUGGUACCAUUACUGAAUCUGUAGUUUGGGCUUCAACCUCUGAUACGCAAUUAAAAAAACGACUCAUAGUACAAACAAUUGUUAAAUAUCUACUACAAUAUCAUUUUCAAUUAGAAGAGAAGGAUUUUGGUUAUAUAGCUGGUGAAUUGGAUAUUGUUUAUAAACUGACAUCUGCUUUUAAAACUGAUAAAGUGAAUGAAAGAUACCGAGUAGAGCAAGAUACAGACGCGGAAGCUCUAUCCUUAAGAGUAAUACGUGUUUUUAAUGAUUUGGCACGUAAACUACAAGGAUUAAACGAAUUGCCUUUGGAAAUUGUGUAUAUAGCAGGAACAUCACCAGUUUUUCGUUAUUGCGAAUCGGUGCCAAUUCUUCCACAAGCACGGUAUAUAGGUGAUAAAUUGUUUGCGCAACAUAUGCAAUGUGGUGUUAUACAGCUAAGUUCAAGCGGUAAAUGGCCGAGUGAAUUAACUGCUUUACGUGCUGCGAAAGUAGCAUUUUACAUUGAAAUUGCUAGAUUACUGCAAGAAAAGCAUAAACUGCGCACAGAAGUUACAUAUGAUGGAAUACUGAUAUUGAAGGAAGGUUAUUGUUUUAAAAUUGAAAUUGCACACCCAAAAGAAAUUGCUUUAUUGAAAAAAGAGAUAAAUGAACGUGGUAUAACGCAAUACACUGAUAGUGAGUCAAGUGUAGCGUUGGAAAAGCGACACUACAUUCUGCCGAAAGUGACUGGUGCAUUACAUGCACUUUAUCAAUCACAUCCUACUUUUGGAGCAACAGUUAUGAUUGCUAAACGUUGGUUGCAUUCACAAUUAAUAGAUGAUGGCCUAUGGCCUGAAGAGUGUACUGAAUUAUUGAUUGCUUCCCAGUUUACACGGACCAAUUCCCCUCAAGUAAUAACGUCGGCUCAAAUGGGUUUUAUUAGAUAUUUGCAUUUACUAGCUCAUACGGAUUGGAACGCAGAAUUAUUUUUAUUGAAUUUCAAUAAUGCACUAGACGAAAAUAAAAUAUCAGAAAUUGAGUAUCAAUUUCAUGCAACCCGUGAGAAAUUUCCCUCAUUAUGUAUAAUAACUGCUUACGAUCAAAAACAUUAUGGAUAUCUUUGGUCCACCAGUACAAAGCCGAAUGCAAAUGUGUUGGCACGUGUAACGAUUUUAGCCCGUCAAGCUUUGGCUAUUAUAGAAUCAUCACUUUUGUCUAUUGAUGAAAUAUUUAUCAAACCAUCUAAACUAUUUACGGCUUCUAAUCAGGGUUAUAAUUUAAUUAUUCAACUUAAACCAGAUAUGGUUCCUAACACAAUGGCCACAGAUUUCGGUUCUCCUUUUACUGCAAUGGGCAAACCAAACUGGCGUUUACCAUUAGCGGAUACCAAUUUUGUAAAAGCUGCAGUUCAAAAAUUAAGGGAGGGUUAUUCGGAUUUCGCUGCUUUCUUUUAUAACCCAAAUGGUGGCAAAGAAAUUGGAAUAGUGUGGAAACCUGACAGCGUAUUUGAGGAGAGAGAAUUUAAAAUUAAUGAAGUGAAUGGAUGUGCAUUAAGUGAUACACUUGCUAACAAAAUACAAUGCAAAAAGGAAAUUUUAGUUGAGGAUUUCAAAUUUAUAUUAAAAGACUUUUCAAUACGUAUUGACAGUGCACAAGAAGUUUUCAAAGCCUCUCGUAUAACAACGGUUGUGGAAAAAGAACGGUAUUUUAAAAAAGAAGUUCCUGAAUCGAAAUAGAUUUCCGAUAUAAAAAAAAAAGAAAUUUGCCUAAAUUGAUAUUUACUUUAAUACGCACUGCGGUGCAAAAUCAUACAUUACAACAAUAAAUACAAAUCAACGAACAACUGCAACAAUCGGUCAGCAACUUGAGAAAUCGCAAAAAAUAACAACAACAACUGCAACAUAUUCGAUAUGCCGAGGUACGAUAACACUCAGCGCAAUCGUUUAAACAAGCAAAAUAUUUAUCGAAGCAAUCGACAAAAAAAAUGAAAAUACUUCGUUCGUU